rnacentral:rRNA from 1 species
CGAAGGGAGCUAGCGUUGUUCGGAAUUACUGGGCGUAAAGGGCGCGUAGGCGGCCGAGUAAGUCAGAUGUGAAAGCCCCGGGCUUAACCUGGGAAUUGCAUAUGAUACUGCUUGGCUAGAGGACGAGAGAGGAAAACGGAAUUGUGAGUGUAGAGGUGAAAUUCGUAGAUAUUCACAAGAACACCAGUGGCGAAGGCGGCUUUCUGGCUCGUAUCUGACGCUAGGGCGCGAAAGCGUGGGGAGCAAACAGGAUUAGAUACCCUGGUAGUCCACGCUGUAAACGACGAGUGCUAGAUGUUAGGAGGGCAACCUCUUAGUGUCGCAGCUAACGCAUUAAGCACUCCGCCUGGGGAGUACGGUCGCAAGAUUA